GCAGCACAACAGCGAUGUUUGUUCCUAACAGCAGCAGCAGCAGCAGCAGCAGCAGCAGCAGCAGCAGCAGCAGCAGCAGCAGCAGCAGCAGCAGCAGCAGCAGCAGCGUGUU
rnacentral:miRNA from 14 species